rnacentral:rRNA from 1 species
AUUGAACGCUGGCGGCAUGCCUUACACAUGCAAGUCGAACGGUAACAGGUCCUUCGGGAUGCCGACGAGUGGCGAACGGGUGAGUAAUAUAUCGGAACGUGCCCAGUAGUGGGGGAUAACUGCUCGAAAGAGCAGCUAAUACCGCAUACGACCUGAGGGUGAAAGGGGGGGAUCGCAAGACCCCUCGCUAUUGGAGCGGCCGAUAGCAGAUUAGCUAGUUGGUGGGGUAAAGGCCUACCAAGGCAACGAUCUGUAGUUGGUCUGAGAGGACGACCAGCCACACUGGGACUGAGACACGGCCCAGACUCCUACGGGAGGCAGCAGUGGGGAAUUUUGGACAAUGGGCGAAAGCCUGAUCCAGCAAUGCCGCGUGCAGGAUGAAGGCCUUCGGGUUGUAAACUGCUUUUGUACGGAACGAAAAGCCCCGGGUUAAUACCCUGGGGUCAUGACGGUACCGUAAGAAUAAGCACCGGCUAACUACGUGCCAGCCGCCGCAGUAA